rnacentral:rRNA from 1 species
UGGGGAAUUUUGGACAAUGGGCGAAAGCCUGAUCCAGCAAUGCCGCGUGUGUGAAGAAGGCCUUCGGGUUGUAAAGCACUUUUGUCCGGAAAGAAAUCCUUGGCUCUAAUACAGUCGGGGGAUGACGGUACCGGAAGAAUAAGCACCGGCUAACUACGUGCCAGCAGCCGCGGUAAUACGUAGGGUGCAAGCGUUAAUCGGAAUUACUGGGCGUAAAGCGUGCGCAGGCGGUUUGCUAAGACCGAUGUGAAAUCCCCGGGCUCAACCUGGGAACUGCAUUGGUGACUGGCAGGCUAGAGUAUGGCAGAGGGGGGUAGAAUUCCACGUGUAGCAGUGAAAUGCGUAGAGAUGUGGAGGAAUACCGAUGGCGAAGGCAGCUCCCUGGGCCAAUACUGACGCUCAUGCACGAAAGCGUGGGGAGCAAAACAGGAUUAGAUACCCUGGUAGUCCACGCCCUAAACGAUGUCAACUAGUUGUUGGGGAUUCAUUUCCUUAGUAACGUAGCUAACGCGUGAAGUUGACCGCCUGGGGAGUACGGUCGCAAGAUUAAAACUCAAAGGAAUUGACGGGGUCAUAGC